rnacentral:tRNA from 1 species
GAAUAUGAAGCGAUAUAUUGCAUUCAGUUUCGACCUGAACUUAGGUAAUCUUCUACCCUUAUUCU